GGUUUAUAAUAUGGUGAAGCGUGGUGUAAUGCAGUGUGAUGUGAUGUGAAUGUUUGUGUGUUGUGUGAGUCUGUAUGAGAGAGAGAGAGAGAGAGAGAGA